AGAACAGUCAGUUGCUAUGGUAGAAGACAAACAACAACUGCAUAAACAGGAAGGGAAAGCUAUGCCCAUCCCAAAAGGGCAGAGACAUGCUGGAACAAAGAAAACAUGGGCAUAUAGGUUUCUAAUGUUCUGAUAUUGAAAGUAAUAAUCAGGCUUCUAAACCUCAAACCACCUGAAAAAAAAAUAGGAAUGGCAUUAAACAAAACAUUAAUGACAUGUUUGACUGGAAGAAGAGAUGGCCAAGGAAUAUACCAUGAGUGAAGGGAAACAAAUGAACAUCUCAGAUGUCCCUGGAUCCAUGCCAGAAGCAGCUGAGGAAGGCAGCCUCCAGGCUAUAAAGUGGAAUUUCCAAGAAAACUAUAGACUGCAAUGGUAGAAACAAGGAGAUAAGGAAGAGAAAUCUUACCAUUGCCAGUACCAGAAAUAAUUGCUUUGCUGGAUUAAAUCAAAGUCUGCAGAACUCAAACUCCUUGCCAUUGAUACUGGAAUUCUGACUUUAAGUA